AGAAUCAACGCUGGCGGCGUGCCUAACACAUGCAAGUCGAACGAGAAAGGGACUUCGGUCCUGAGUAUAGUGGCGCACGGGUGAGUAACACGUGAAUAAUCUACCUCCGAGUGGGGAAUAACUGGAAGAAAUUUCAGCUAAUACCGCAUAACACUUACGAGUCAAAGCAGUAAUGCGCUUGGAGAGGAGUUCGCGGCAGAUUAGUUAGUUGGCGGGGUAAUGGCCCACCAAGACGAUGAUCUGUAUCCGGCCUGAGAGGGCGCACGGACACACUGGAACUGAAACACGGUCCAGACUCCUACGGGAGGCAGCAGUGGGGAAUUUUGCGCAAUGGGGGAAACCCUGACGCAGCAACGCCGCGUGGAGGAUGAAGUAUCUUGGUACGUAAACUCCUUUCGAUGGGGAAGAUAAUGACGGUACCAUAGAGAAGCCCGCUAACUUCGUGCCAGCAGCCGC
rnacentral:rRNA from 1 species